AGGUGUUUCAGGCUGGGGUAUAAGCUGA
rnacentral:piRNA from 1 species